ACAACUUUGCAAAAGCCAGGCUCUCCGGGUGCUUCCCAGCCACUGCGCUGGAAUACUCCCUUCCCUCCACAACCCACAGCUAUGGACAAAGGAGCAAGUAAAAUGAAACUGACUUACUGCUAUGGCUUGGAGCCUUUCCUUGUGCAACUCUGCUUCCGCCAUCCUGGAGAGAAGGACACGGGAGGAGAGAGAGGGAGACGGGUGGGAGAAAAAAAUAGAAGAAACAAGAAGGCAAGCAAAACCAAAACGGAGCACGCACUGCAGUCACCGGGUGGGAACUGGAGUAAUUGCAAAGAAAGCUGAGCUCCUGUAUAGCAGUCAGCCACUUUUGGAGGCACUGCAGCCUGGCUCACGGUUAAAGGACUGUAUUGACAUCAGAUAUUCAAAAGUGACAAGGCUGUGUAUGCAAACAACCUGACUGAAGACCCUGGUGUUAUACACAGAGGAGGAGACAGACAGCAAAGAAGCCCCCCACUCUCUCCCAGUCCAGUCCUACAGGGUGCUGCUGCAAGGAUGACACAGGGCUGGCACACUGGAGGGGUAUCUCUGAGCCAGAGCAGCCACUGCGCCAGAUGGAGGGCUGGACAUGGAGUUGAAGCAUGCACAGCAGGAGAUGGCAUUGUUUAAGAAAUAAAAAUCUAGAGCACAGGACUUUGUUUUAAACCUUCCCAAGACAGCAGGCUUAUGAAUAGUGCCUCCCUUGACACUCAAGAUCCACCUGGGGCAGAAAAGGAUGAUGAGAGCAAGUAAUACUCCCAGUACUACACUGCAGGACAGGGAUACAACUGUGAACAGAACAACUCUUCACUAAAAAGGGAAUUUUUGUUGAAUUUAAAUUCUGUCAGUGUAAUGAUGCCACCAAAAUAGGUCUCUGCUUUUCUUAGUUGUGCAUCUCUCUAUAGCUGUUAAUGAGUGGAGAAUCAUGUGUACCCGAGGACUUGUGCUAUCCACCCCAUCUGAAACAUUUUGUUGCAUUGAGUUUCAUUGUUCCUGACAACUUUAAUGCUGACACAGAAGAGACUCUUGCCCCUUCAGCCCCUCAAAACUGGCUUGGCUAUUCAUUCUGCCAAAAAAAAAAAAAAAGAGGAAAAAGUGUACAUUUUUUCACUUUGGAUUUAAAAACUAGAGCUUUGUUCUUGUAGGUUCUGGCAUUUCCCUCUCCUUUUUUUUCAAACAACACAGACUGCAGCAGGAAAGCUGCUUUUAGCAGUAUUUAUUUCUGUUCUUGUGCCUGCUGAUUAUUCUCCACAUAUAGUACAUAGCUGAAAUGAUAUUCCCUUAAAAAACAUAAAAAUAUUUACUGCUGAGAUUUGGGUUAGUACACUGGAUUUUGCUUCAGAAGUGAAAUAGUAAAGAAAGUAAGUUGUCUGCAGCCCAACUGCAAAAAGCUGUUAGAAAGGUGAAUAUAAACUACUGUUCCAGAACAUAACUGAGGCUAGAAUCUGAAUGUUUGUUUUUUACUACUUCUGUGAUCACUGUGUGAUUUGGGAAGGCUCUAUCCACAUUUGCUGCAGGCACGCUGGUGGCUUAUGAGGCCAAUA